CUGCCCUCAAGCGCGGCUUGUGUGUUGGGUGCGGUCCCCCCGGGGACCUGCCCGAAAGGCAGCGGCGACGUCCGUUUGGGUCCUCGAGCGUAUGGGGCUUUGUCACUCGCUCGGGACGGACCCGCGGGGGUUGGUCACCACCACAAUUUUACCAC
rnacentral:misc_RNA from 2 species